rnacentral:lncRNA from 1 species
GACAUAAAUCCAAGAUCUCUAAGACCAAAUGAGACUAGCAAUUUAACUUCAAAAAGAAAAAACAACUAAACCUAGUUUUGACAUAAACUACAGCAAAAUUGGAUCACAUAGCUUCUGAACAUGACUUCUAAGUUUGACUUCAUGUUGUUCCUGAAUAUGUCAUAAAUUCAUUCUCAAGUAGUUAUCAAUAUAUUGCUUUCUUGCUUCCAAUAGUUUAUAGUCCUACUUCGUUUCGAGAGCCACACUAAUGUUUUCCUUCUAAGUGUUUUAUGGAGCAGUUAACAGGACAAAUUACCUAUCUACUACAAAAUGAAAAUUCCAGACUUAUACUGAUAAGCUCGACAGGCUUGUUGUUCCGGACCCAGGUGCAUGGCAUACAAUAGUAACAUAACUAGAAGCCUUUUCACAUCAACUUGAGGUCAGGUUGAACAUCUGUUGGCAUUCAUGCAUUCCAAGAAUAAAUACUCCACUAGAAAGGCAUUAUCAAGUUGUUUCUGGCAGCACUUUCCUGAAGCCUCUCCCGGUCACCCUUCUCCUUAUAGUUUAAUGGUGGAUUUCCUUUGCUUCCCUAGAUACUACCAAAGUCUACAACAUUAACAAGUGUAAUAAGUGGAGAGAUCUGGCGACACCCCACUAGCACAACCAUCUCUAUCUCCCCCUUGCACUAGUCUGUUUCAAAGUGGCUUCAUUUAUUCCCCUCCACCCAAUUCUUCUUUUCAAUCUCAACAAAUACUGUCUAUAUGCUAGCUUUAAGCUUGCAUUCAUAAUGUGAAGAAGCAAGAUCAGGCUUAUGAUCUGCAGUAAGAAAGAAGCCAGACAAGGGUUAACAAAUAUAUAAGCCAUCUCUAGCAUUCUCCAUGCAUAAUUCUGCUGUAAGAAGGAAUCGGCAUUUUCAGGCCAGUAAACAUUCAUCAUUAAAUGAUCUAUUGUUCAGUAAACCAUCACAACUGACUCGCAAAAG